rnacentral:rRNA from 1 species
UACGAAGGGGGCUAGCGUUGUUCGGAAUUACUGGGCGUAAAGCGAUCGUAGGCGGUGUUCCAUGUCAGAGGUGAAAGCCUGGGGCUCAACUCCAGAAUUGCCUUUGAAACGGGAACGCUUGAGUCCGAGAGAGGGUGGCGGAAUUCCUAGUGUAGAGGUGAAAUUCGUAGAUAUUAGGAAGAACACCAGUGGCGAAGGCGGCCACCUGGCUCGGUACUGACGCUCAGGUUCGAAAGCGUGGGGAGCAAACAGG